AAUAUUGCACAAUGGGGGAAACCCUGAUGCAGCGACGCCGCGUGAGCGAAGAAGGCCUUCGGGUCGUAAAGCUCUGUCCUAAGGGAAGAAACGGACGGUACCUUAGGAGGAAGCCCCGGCUAACUACGUGCCAGCAGCCGCGGUAAUACGUAGGGGGCGUGUGUUAUCCGGAAUUAGUGGGCGUAACGGGUGCGUAUGUGGCUUUUUAAGUCAGAUGUGAAAGUCUACGGCUUAACCUUAGUUAGCAUUUGAAACUAAAAGGCUUGAGUGCAGGAGAGGUGAGUGGAAUUCCUAGUGUAGCGGUGAAAUGCGUAGAUAUUAGGAGGACCGCCAGUGGCAAAGGCGACUCUCUGGACUGCAACUGACGCUGAGGCACGAAAGCGUGGGGAGCGAAC
rnacentral:rRNA from 1 species